UACAGAGGGUGCGAGCGUUAAUCGGAGUUACUGGGCGUAAAGGGCGCGUAGGCGGUGAGAUGUGUGUGAUGUGAAAGCCCUGGGCUUAACCUGGGAAGUGCAUCGCAAACUAUCUGACUGGAGUAUAAGAGAGGGUGGCGGAAUUUCCGGUGUAGCGGUGAAAUGCGUAGAGACCGGAAGGAACGUCAAUGGCGAAGGCAGCCACCUGGCUUAAUACUGACGCUGAGGAGCGAAAGCGUGGGGAGCGAACAGG
rnacentral:rRNA from 1 species